UACGUAGGGGGCGAGCGUUAUCCGGAUUUAUUGGGUUUAAAGGGUGCGCAGGCGGGAGAUUAAGUCGGCGGUGAAAUUUUGCAGCUCAACUGUAAAAGUGCCUUCGAAACUGGUUUCCUUGAGUGUAGAUGAAGUAGGCGGAAUUUGUGGUGUAGCGGUGAAAUGCAUAGAUAUCACGAGGAACUCCGAUUGCGCAGGCAGCUUACUAAACUACUACUGACGCUCAGGCACGAAGGCGUGGGGAUCAAACAGGAUUAGAUACCCUGGUAGU
rnacentral:rRNA from 1 species